AUCCAGAUGACGAGUCUCAAAUGGGACUAAAUCCGCGUUGUCCUGGAU
rnacentral:hammerhead_ribozyme from 1 species